GGAAUAUUGGACAAUGGGCGAAAGCCUGAUCCAGCCAUGCCGCGUGUGUGAAGAAGGUCUUCGGAUUGUAAAGCAUUUUAAGUUGGGAGGAAGGGCCGCAAGCUAAUACCUUGCUGUUUUGCCGUUACCGACAGACUAAGCACCGGCUAACCCUGUGCCAGCAGCCGCGGUAAUUCAGAGGGUGCAAGCGUUAAUCGGAAUUACUGGGCGUAAAGCGCGCGUAGGUGGUUUGUUAAGUUGGAUGUGAAAGCCCCGGGCUCAACCUGGGAACUGCAUCCAAAACUGGCAAGCUAGAGUACGGUAGAGGGUGGUGGAAUUUCCUGUGUAGCGGUGAAAUGCGUAGAUAUAGGAAGGAACACCAGUGGCGAAGGCGACCACCUGGACUGAUACUGACACUGAGGUGCGAAAGCGUGGGGAGCAA
rnacentral:rRNA from 1 species